rnacentral:rRNA from 1 species
CCCUUAGAUGUCCUGGGCCGCACGCGCGCUACACUGAGUGUCUGAGAUACGAGUCUGCCUGGUCCGGCAAGGUCUAGGUAAUCGCUAAAAGACACAUCAUGCUUGGGAUAGAUUAUUGCAAAUAUUAAUCUUGAACGAGGAAUUCCUAGUAAGCGCAAGUCAACAGCUUGCGUUGAUUACGUCCCUGCCCUUUGUACACACCGCCCGUCGCUACUACUGAUUGGAUGUUAAAGCGAGGUUCUCGAACUGCUAGCGACUUAGCUUCGGUGAGGUCGCCGUGUGGGAAGUGAACCUAGCUUUGGUGUCUAGAGGAAGUAAAAGUCGUAUCA